UUCAUCCAAAACAGAGACGAACAGCAUUCCUCCACGUGAUCGGCUUGAAAACUUGCAAGGAUAUUAAGAUACUUUUCUUAACAUGAAACCAAUGGUAGCCUUAAGACACAAAUAUAGAAAUUUUAUCCACCAAUGUUGUGUUGAGCACUCAUUCUCAUUUACACACACACACACACAAAUA